rnacentral:rRNA from 1 species
GACGAACGCUGGCGGCGUGCUUUACACAUGCAAGUCGAGCGAUGAGAUCCCUUCGGGGAAGGAUUAGCGGCGAACGGGUGAGGAACACGUGAGGAAUCUGCCUUCAACACUGGGAUAACUCCGGGAAACCGGGGCUAAUACCGGAUACGAGACCUGCAGGCAUCUGCGGGUCUGGAAAGUUUUUCGGUUGAAGAUGACCUCGCGGCCUAUCAGCUUGUUGGUGAGGUAAUGGCUCACCAAGGCGACGACGGGUAGCCGGCCUGAGAGGGCGACCGGCCACACUGGGACUGAGACACGGCCCAGACUCCUACGGGAGGCAGCAGUGGGGAAUAUUGGGCAAUGGAGGGAACUCUGACCCAGCGACGCCGCGUGCGGGAUGAAGGCCUUCGGGUUGUAAACCGCUUUCAGCAAGGAAGAAGCGAAAGUGACGGUACUUGCAGAAGAAGCACCGGCUAACUAUGUGCCAGCAGCCGCGGUAAUACAUAGGGUGCAAGCGUUGUCCGGAAUUAUUGGGCGUAAAGAGCUCGUAGGUGGUUCGUCACGUCGGAUGUGAAAAUCUGGGGCUUAACCCCAGACCUGCAUUCGAUACGGGCGAGCUAGAGUGUGGUAGGGGAGACUGGAAUUCCUGGUGUAGCGGUGGAAUGCGCAGAUAUCAGGAGGAACACCAAUGGCGAAGGCAGGUCUCUGGGCCAUUACUGACACUGAGGAGCGAAAGCGUGGGGAGCGAACAGGAUUAGAUACCCUGGUAGUCCACGCCGUAAAC